UACAGAGGUCUCAAGCGUUGUUCGGAUUCAUUGGGCGUAAAGGGUGUGUAGGUGGCGCGCUAAGUCGGGUGUGAAAUUUCGGAGCUUAACUCCGAAACUGCAUUCGAUACUGCCGUGCUUGAGGACUGGAGAGGAGACUGGAAUUUACGGUGUAGCAGUGAAAUGCGUAGAGAUCGUAAGGAAGACCAGUGGCGAAGGCGGGUCUCUGGACAGUUCCUGACACUGAGGCACGAAGGCCAGGGGAGCAAACGGG
rnacentral:rRNA from 1 species